AAUAAUCAUUUGAUGCGCUCUCGUGGAGUCCGUAUAGAUAACAAAUCUAUCCGUGUUAAUUAUUUUUUCAUCUAAAUAAACACCCUCCAGUGAAGCAGGUUCUAUUCACCGAUACUGUGCGAAACAUCCAAAGAACUGAUGAUACCUUUAUGCACUUCCGAUUUGCUAGUGAGAAAAUCUUCUCUUCUACCACUACGUUGUGCUAUUUACCGGCUGUUCAUCAUCAUCUUCUUUUCACGAAGAGGUCUUGUAGGGCGUACAAAGGACACUGUGGAUUGGCGACACGACGAGAACUUCAUCUCGUGACGAAUUAGGCAUAGUUGGAUCGCUCUACACGAGCGCACAAGUAUGAUCCAAGUGCCAAGAGAAGCGCAGUGGGCACAUUUUUUACGGCGGAUAAUGUUUAUUUCAUUCAAACAUGGAAGCGACCCGUUUACUUUACGGCCCUGUCUGCCAACUAGGAUGAACGCAUUCUAGUGAGUCGCAAGUAAAUCUGUCGUCAUUACACUGUGACAUGCAUGAACGCGCCAAGUAAUCGACGGAAACUUCUCAAGAUGCAAAUGACGAGAUGCAGUCAUCUGAGUCGGAGUAAUGUGACAACAGUUGCACUACAGUAUAUGGUCGGCCUUUUCGCGCAGUCUCGCACGCUAUCUCCGCAUACAACGGUGCGCAACGUACGACGACAUUCGCUUGCAUACGAGGCUCCAUUAAUAUCAAUUUGUCCCUCUGGCUGAAUCCGCUACUCCUACUGCCGUCGGCGGUACAGCCUCGUCUACCGCCCUUAACCCUACCCUCUUCUGGGGGUUACACAGCAGGAAUUCGAGCUUUCGGAAGUGGUUUCCAAGGAAAGGUAAAUCGCAACCCGAAUUUCCCUGAGACAGCUCCGUGUACUUCCUCAGCAGGCCAUGCUCUCUAGGACAAUCGCACUCUUCGUGACUCGUGGGAGGGACAAUGGGGUAAAUGAAAAACCUCCCUUGCCUUUGUGGAAUGACUGUGACCGAUUGCCGCGUUUCAUCCUUGGUCGCGCCGCGCGCUUCGUCUCUUAGGAGCCUAUCUACUCUUCGUACUAUUUUCUUCCUUCCCCUUCCAACAAUGAAAACCCAGGCGGCUGAGGCCGAGAAGGACUAGAGCAGACAAACCGAGACAGAGUGUCGACAACUGAAGCGAACCAUAUACACAGGCACACAUCUACCCAUCUACACACUAUAUGCAUACAUACUCAAGGUUCACUUACAUCCGUACACAGUCGUUUCGUGACAACUCGAGACGAACCCACUUUCAGACACUGCUUGCCAGCUUGUUUUCUAUUCGGCCUUCUUCCGCCUAUCUUCGUCCAUGCGUGACUAAGCAAGCCUUUGUCAAUUCUGCAGUCCGACGGACCGACCAAAACCAUAGCCUCUCAGACGACUUAAUAUCAAUUACCGGUCGUCAUUGGGCAACUGUAUUUGCCUUAAAAACAAGAAGUUUCUCAUAGUUGGAGUGUAAUAGUUCAAGUAUUGUUCGUUAUCGUACA